GAGGUAAGAGGUACUACAGGGGUAGGAGUGAAAUCUUGUAAUCCCUGUGGGACCACCUGUGGCGAAGGCGUCUUACCAGAACGGGUUCGACGGUGAGGGACGAAAGCUGGGGGCACGAACCGGAUUAGAUACCCGGGUAGUCCCAGCCGUAAACGAUGCUCGCUAGGUGUCAGGCAUGGCGCGACCGUGUCUGGUGCCGCAGGGAAGCCGUGAAGCGAGCCACCUGGGAAGUACGGCCGCAAGGCUGAAACUUAAAGGAAUUGGCGGGGAGCACAACAACGGGUGGAAGCCUGCGGUUUAAUUGGACUCAACGCCGGACAACUCACCGGGGGCGACAGCAAUAUGUAGGCCAAGCUGAAGACUUUGCCUGAAUCGCUGAGGGGAGGUGCAUGG
rnacentral:rRNA from 1 species